GGCGUUGUGGCUCAGUGGUAGGGCGCUUGCCUCACAUGUGUGAGGCACUGGGUUUGAUUCUCAGCACUGCAU
rnacentral:tRNA from 1 species